rnacentral:rRNA from 1 species
GAUGAACGCUGGCGGCGUGCCUAAUACAUGCAAGUCGUGCGAAUGGAUUAAGAGCUUGCUCUUAUGAAGUUAGCGGCGGACGGGUGAGUAACACGUGGGUAACCUGCCCAUAAGACUGGGAUAACUCCGGGAAACCGGGGCUAAUACAGGAUAACAUUUUGAACCGCAUGGCUCGAAAUUGAAGGGCGGCUUCGGCUGUCACUUAUGGAUGGACCCGCGUCGCAUUAGCUGGUGGGUGAGGUAACGGCUCACCAAGGCAACGAUGCGUAGCCGACCUGAGAGGGUGAUCGGCCACACUGGGACUGAGACACGGCCCAGACUCCUACGGGAGGCAGCAGUAGGGAAUCUUCCGCAAUGGACGAAAGUCUGACGGAGCAACGCCGCGUGAGUGAUGAAGGCUUUCGGGUCGUAAAACUCUGUUGUUAGGGAAGAACAAGUGCUAGUUGAAUAAGCUGGCACAUUGACGGUACCUAACCAGAAAGCCACGGCUAACUACGUGCCAGCCGCCGCAGUAA